AGAGAACCCAGAGCUGCCCCAGUGGGGACUGCCUUCUGCUUUAUGCCACUCACUCUUUGCUCGUACCCCUCCUUGUUUCUAGUGCCUCCAGCCCCCAUCUCUGACAAGGAGGGGAGGACCAAGCCGAGACCUCACUGAGUAGGGAUUCCUGCCUUCUCUGACAGAGGCUUAAAGGAGAGAAAAGCCCCAGGGCUGGGGUAGCUCAGGGUCCUCUGGGCACACAGGGGGCAGGCGCUGGCCUGCGUGGAAGAGGAAAGCAUGAAUCGGCUCGCAAGAGCAUAAAGAUGGCACAGACGAAUGGAAUGCAGUAUUGAUCGGGCUCUGGGUGACUCACCACCUCAGAGAAGGGAAGCUGGGAGAGUGACGUCAUUGUUGGAGCUGCUGCUGAGGCUGGCAGCCGCACCCCACCCCUGCCCCGAGACCUUUUCUUGACUUGCUAGCUUCUUUUCGCCUCUCUAUCACAAGGCAUCUUAAUGCCAUGUGCCUCUUGACUUCAGGAGCCACAAAACUGAACCAAACCUCCUUUGAAACCAUCUCUAUCAGAGAGGACAGUCUGUCCUGACUCUGUACGCCCCUUCCUCCGGGUGCAAGAGGACCGGAUGACCUCCCAGACUGCUCCUGGCUCCAGGACUCCACAACUGUCUGCCUUGAGGCUGGUGUAGGAGGAGAACGAAGGUGGCUGCUUUGUUAUAAGGGAACGUGGCCCUCCUGCCCAGACCCUGAGAAACCUCAGGAAGCGAGUACCAGAUAAUAAAUAAUA